rnacentral:lncRNA from 13 species
GGUGAGGCCACCUGGUGUGGUGAGAGAGAUCUCCACCCUCCUAAAUACCCAGCUCCCUGGGGAAUGUCUGCACCAGCCCUGGCAGCAUAGAGCUCCAGGAUUUUUUCAGCUGGCUAUUUCCCUACCCUCUCCUACAUCCCAACACCAUUUCCCCAUUUUCAGUUCCACCGGAGAGAUUCCUCAAGGCCUUGAGUACUUCAGAUGAAAUGAUUUUGACAGCAAAAUUGCUUUAUGCUCACCAGAGAAUGCCCUAUCCACUUGGAAAUAAGGCCUAUUUGAAUUCGCCCCCUUUGUCCUUCCAAAUGUCACUGGAUGAGGGAGAGGACUUGGCAGAAGAAUGCAGUCGGUUUUGGCAGAAGCGUCCAAAAGUCUCAGACCCCCUGAUAUACAAUAUCAAAGGAUUUUGAAGAAAAAGAUGUGCAGGGAAUGUGCCUGAUGCUACCAAUAAUAAAGGUAAGUCAGACGUGUUUAUAUGACCA